AUAGAGAUGCCAGAAUAUUUUAUGGGGUUAAUUUAGGGUUAAUUUAUGGCUCUUAGAGCCUCUCUAUU
rnacentral:tRNA from 1 species